rnacentral:rRNA from 1 species
GACGGAGGAUGCAAGCGUUAUCCGGAAUGAUUGGGCGUAAAGCGUCCGCAGGUGGCAGUUCAAGUCUGCUGUCAAAGACUGGGGCUUAACUCCGGAAAGGCAGUGGAAACUGAACAGCUAGAGUAUGGUAGGGGCAGAGGGAAUUCCCAGUGUAGCGGUGAAAUGCGUAGAGAUUGGGAAGAACAUCGGUGGCGAAAGCGCUCUGCUGGACCAAAACUGACACUCAGGGACGAAAGCUAGGGGAGCGAAUGGG